GCUCCCAUAGCAUAGUGGUCACUGCACUUGUCUCGCACGCAGGAGACCCGGGUUCGAUUCCCGACAGGGUCA
rfam:Asian citrus Psyllid, Diaphorina citri - Florida Strain, whole genome shotgun sequence.